GUUUUUGUCUACUUUAUUAUUAUUAUUGUUAAGCCACGAAGCACAUAUUAGUUCUAUUCUUAUUGGCUUUUAAUAAAUAAAAUAGAACAGAAUUAAAUUAAAUGUUAGUAUCAAUCUGCCUUUUUCACUAGGCUACAGACACUGUUGCUGCUGUUUUUCAGUUGAUCACAUUAUUUAUGUGUGCUCUUCUGGCCUGUUUCCCAUCUGGUUUUCCUCUCUUAGAUGAGGGAAAGAACACCAAGGAGCACAUCCCAUCCCAGCCAGACUCCACUGACUCCUCAUCGCGUUCUUCUCUGGACACAACAAAGUGUCAGGCAGAACAGCCAUAGCAUACUAUGCUCAAGUCUCCACUCACGGUUUAUAAGGCAGGUGCAGGAUUCUGGAAGCAAGCAUAGAAGCGGCAGUGACGUAGCUGCUAAGCAGUGAUGUAGUGUACUGCUAAGAAGCCCAAGCAGUAACAAUGGAAACAAAAGUGAAAAUAAUUGAGAGUGGAGUGAGGUAAAAAGAUGGAAUUGGGGGCCCAGAGAAAGGAUGAAGAGAGACAAGAGGAAAAAGAAGUAACUGAAGAAUCAAAAAGAUUCACGAUUCAGGACAUGGGGACAAGAGAUUUUCUUUAUUUGAGGAGGCUCUGUUGUUUUUGAGGAAUAGGACCCAAACGUAGGAUGGUACAUGAAGUUUGCAGCAGCCAGAAUGCAUUGCAUUCAGAAUGCAAUCCAGUGCUACCACGUCACCCAUGAUGAAAAAAAGAGCUGAUACCCAGAUAUCACUGGAUCAUUCUUUCUAGAGGGUAGAUAGAAUUGAAUCCAACAAGGAACCAGAAUCUGUGCCAUUGUAAGGCGUCAAUAAAAUUGCAACUUGCCCCUCGUCUCCUAUUGCUGAUGAUCCUUCAAUCCUACCACCUCCCACUUCCUCUCCCUCCCCCAGUCAGUAAC
rnacentral:lncRNA from 1 species